GGUAUUUAAUUCUUAUUUUCAAAUCACUUUGGAUCCUUAAUUUAAUUAUAUUAUUAACUAAUUUUAAGAAAAGUUUUUUUUAUUUUCUAAUCGCCCCAAUUAAAUUUGUUUUAAAUUUAAUUAUUAAACAUUUUUUUUUAAAUUUAAUUCAAAUAAAAAUCUAUAGGGUCUUCUCGUCUUUUUAUUUAAUAUUUGCCUUUUAACAAAUAAGUUAAAUUCAAUCUUUUUUUAAUCGAAACAGUAAAAAUCUCAUUAAUUCUUUCAUUCCAGCCUUCAAUUAAAAGACUAUUGAUUAUGCUACCUUCGCACAGUCAAAAUACCGCGGCUCUUUAAUUCAUAUUAUCAGUGAGCAGAAAUUAUCUUAUAUUUAUAAAAUCCUGUUAACAGGGGGUUUUAAUCAUAAAACA
rnacentral:rRNA from 1 species